AUUGAACGCUGGCGGCAGGCCUAACACAUGCAAGUCGAGCGCGCGGCGGACGGGUGAGUAAUGUAUGGGGACUGCCCGAUAGAGGGGGAUAAAUACUGGAAACGGUAGCUAAUACCGCAUACUAUCGGAUAACCCAUAUGGGAUUAGCUAGUUGGUGGGGUAAAGGCUCACCAAGGCAACGAUCCGUAGCUGGUUUGAGCGGACGACCAGCCACAUUGGGACUGAGACACUGCCCAUACUCCUACGGGGGCAGCAGUGGGGAAUUUUGGACAAUGGGUGAAACCCUGUUCCAGCCAUCCCGCGUGUAUGAUGAUGGCCUUCGGGUUGUAAAUUACUUUUGGCAGAUAAGCGGUAUCUGCAGAAUAAGCACCGGCUAACUACGUGCCAGCAGCCGCGGUAAUAC
rnacentral:rRNA from 1 species